CAAAUGGACUCAGACGUAGAAGCUGGUUCAUGACAAAAAAAAAACAUUUUGAUGGCAAAGUGAGCUCCAGCCACCAGCCUGAUGCCGGUGAAAUAACAUGAAAGGGUUUGACCUCAUCUAACACCAGUAUGGUGCUCACAUCAAAGCUGUCUCUGUCAAAUAAAGCACAAUAAGGCCAAAGAAACAACUUGAAAAAAUAAAAAUAAAUUUGGUCUUGCAAACAAUGCCAUCGAUGGAAAUCAUGACAGCAAGUGGGAACACGGCUCCUGCAGUCACACAUCCAACGACAUCAACCCCUGGUGGAGACUG